rnacentral:misc_RNA from 1 species
GUGAAUGGUCGCCAUCUUGGUUUAUCGUGUAUUGGCGCGCUUCCCAUUUGUAUCAAACAUUUAAAGUGAAACUUCACAGAAUGUCUACAGUUGCUGUCAGAAAGCAACAGCAAGAUUACAUAGUAUCAAAUAGUAGUGCUUCGCAGGAAAUCCAGCCGUCCCCGCUGGCGCUUUUGGCCGCUACAUGCAGCAAGAUAGGGUCACCAGUCGAUGAGGGUGGUACCCAGGGAUCACCUGUCGUUAAAGUAGUAGGUCAAACUCAGGUCUUACAGACUGGAGAAAUAACUGGAAAUGCAGCUGGACCAGCUUAUUUCAUACCGGUUCAAUCUCAAGCUGUAGGAGUGUUGCAUCCCGACGGUACUGUGACGCAAGUCGCGAGAGUGAAUGGACAGUCGCCUCCGCCCGCUUCUGUUACAGUCUCUGCAGCUGGAAUCAAAUCAUUUCCAUCGUCUGUCUCGUUAGGAACUCCCAGUGCACAAGCUGGAGUGCCUGUGGUUUCUGUUAACGGUCAGCUAUUUCCUCAAGGCGCACAAACAAUCGUAGCCCAUCCUCAAACAUGUGGAAAUGUUGCGUACAGUGUUAUUUCUGCAGACCAACUCACGAAUUUGCAGAUUGAUGGACAAGGAGCUAUUUUCUUCCCUGGCAACUUUAAUCAAGUGGCUACAGGACAGACACAACCUUAUAAGAUCAGUGAAAAAAACCAAACUGUCGUUUCUCCAAAUAUACAAACUUUUAUUCGUGCUCAAAAUGUGCAAACACCAUCUUCAAUGGCACUGCAAAAUAACUGUGGAACAUUACUUCAAAAUAAUGUUACUUUUUCGCCACUUGGUGGGCAAAAUAUGGCCAUCCGUCAAGGAAAUAUGCUUCAGGGUUUUCAAUUUCCUAUGGGCACGGUGCAACAGACCAUUCCGGUCCAGAUUCCUGUAUCAACAGCAGCAGGCCAGACAGCAUUACAGACUAUUCAUUUGCCUGUUCAGGUUAUACAACCCGUCGGAGGAGGAAACAUGUUCACGGCAGGACACCCAACACAGGUCAUGAAUCCGUUAUCUGCGGGACAAAUUUCGACUCAGAUGGCUCAGCUUGUUUCACAAGGCCAUCUGCAACAAGUCCAGAUGGGAACUCCUAUUCAAGUGCUUCACUUAACUCAAAAUGCAGCCUCUUCAAAUCCAGUCUCUACAACAUCGACGGAAGCCUCUGGUAUCACUGUUCCAUCUUGUACACCUAGUACAGCUAUGGUAACUUGUGGUCAGCCCAUGACUAUCCAAAAUGUGCAGCUGUCUUCUGGACAAGUUAUGCAAGGUCACAUGGUGGGUCAGAUUAUCACACAAAGUGGAGUUGCCACCUGGUGGCCAUCAUCUGCUUUUAAUGUUUCAAAUCUAGUUGGUUUAAGAACACCAAAUGUUAUUCAGGUUCAAGGAAUCCAAAAUAUGCCAACUAUAGCUGGACUCCAAAAUGUUCAAGGUCAACAGGGUCAAUACCUUAGCAUUUCCCCAAAUGGAAGUGUCAUUGCUACACCAAAUAUCCAGACUGGUGGUCAGUCUCAAGUAACUGGACAACUUAGCCCAGUACAUACAAUACAAACCAUUGGAGGGACUCAACUGAUUGCUCAACAACUUCAACCUGAUCCUACUGAUCCAACCAAGUGGCAGGUAGUAGCAGCAUCCCCUCUGACUACUCCAAUUCAGCCUCAGCCAUCCAUCACACAAGCUGAACAGGUACCCACGUCCUCAACCUCCACUGAUGGUAGCAACACUCCAAAUUCUUCGCGCAGGAUACGUCGAAUAGCUUGUAUUUGUCCAAACUGCAGAGAUGGAGAAGGAAGUGAUAUCUAUGACAAUGGAUUUCAACCUUUUUUUCCUCAUGGACCCCUUCAUGAAUCAAAGACAAUCUUGCAGACCCUCAUACUCAGAUAGAUCUAUCUGUGGAAGCUGAUCCUACUGUGUAUAAAAGCAGCAUUGACAUAAAUAAGUAUUACUAUUCAUGGAUAAAUUACCUUGUAUUACAAUAAAACAUUAGAUCAUGUGUGGA